AUGCCCAGGGCAUCUACCCAGAGGCAUUCUCCCCCCAAAUCUGCAGGUUUGGAGGUGCGGGGGGGGGGCAGAAGAUCUAUUGUGAGGAAGCCAAGAAGCAGAUGUCUGCCUCCCCUGCUCCCUCCCACAGGGCAAGGAUGUGAAACUAACCCAGAGUGGACGGUGAAGUGCAACUGCCGGGUGUUCUUCCAGUUCUGGAGAAUGCACAGCUUCCUGCUCAAUGCCAGCUGGACCUUCUUCCUAGAGAGAAGCAACUGCUGUCGGACACAUUGCUGGGGAAAGCCAGACAUGAGCCUCCUUCAGCACCGGACACAGCCUAGGAUCCUGCUGGGCUCAGGACCUCCCCUCCCAUCUCUAGUCCCACGAGGAAUGUUUGUUCCCGUUCUCUGCUGGGGGAGUUUUUUCAUGGCGGGGCCUCAUCCUCGACGAAGCUGUGGGACUCAGAGCCAGGCUCUGUGUGGCCCGACGAUCCUGCUGACCCUGGCCUCCUGCAGACCAUGGGCCGCCAUACCCCUGGCCGCAUUUCCAGCUUUUCAAGUGGGAAGAAACCACCCCGUGUCCCAGGACUUGCACUUCUGUGGGCCAUCCUCAGCAAGACAUUUUCAUGGAUAUGAAACUGGACACCGAGUUGACGCUGAAGUUCAGCUGCUGGGUCAUCUUCCAUUUCUGGAGCCUGCUCAGCUUCCUUGUAAAACCCGGCUGGGCUUUCACCCUGGACAGGAGCAACUGGUUCUACGGGACUUCACCAUGCUGCUGCUCAUGGUGGGCAACCUGAUCAACAUCCCUAGGGCAUCACCUUCUUCAGGAGGAGACCACUGCCCCCUGGAUUGUCUUCAGCGUGGUCUCUGA
rnacentral:lncRNA from 1 species